rnacentral:rRNA from 1 species
AUUGAACGCUGGCGGCAGGCUUAACACAUGCAAGUCGAGCGGGGGAAGGUAGCUUGCUACCGGACCUAGCGGCGGACGGGUGCGUAAUGCUUAGGAAUCUGCCUACUAGUGGGGGACAACAUCUCGAAAGGGAUGCUAAUACCGCAUACGUCCUACGGGAGAAAACAUGCGAGCUUCGGACCUUGCCCUCACAGAUGAGCCUAAGUCAGAUUAGGUAGUUGGCUGGGGAAAGGCCUACCAAGGCGACGAUCGUGUAGCGGGUCUGAGAGGAUGAUCCGCCACACUGGGACUGAGACACGGCCCAGACUCCUACGGGAGGCAGCAGUGGGGAAUAUUGGACAAUGGGGGGAACCCUGAUCCAGCCAUGCCGCGUGUGUGAAGAAGGCCUUAUGGUUGUAAAGCACUUUAAGCGAGGAGGAGGCUACUUUAGUUAAUACCUAGAGAUAGUGGACGUUACUCGCAGAAUAAGCACCGGCUAACUCUGUGCCAGCAGCCGCGGUAA